rnacentral:rRNA from 1 species
UACGAAGGGGGCUAGCGUUGCUCGGAAUCACUGAGCGUAAAGCGCACGUAGGCGGAUUGUUAAGUCAGGGGUGAAAUCCUGGAGCUCAACUCCAGAACUGCCUUUGAUACUGGCGAUCUCGAGUCCGGGAGAGGUGAGUGGAACUGCGAGUGUAGAGGUGAAAUUCGUAGAUAUUCGCAAGAACACCAGUGGCGAAGGCGGCUCACUGGCCCGGUACUGACGCUGAGGAGCGAAAGCGUGGGGAGCGAACAGG